CAGUGAUUGUGGAAAGAAUAAUGCAAGUGUAAUCGACUGCAACUUUGUGCCUGAGGUGUUUUCUCACAAAGCAAAAUACUAAACACUGGAACAAAAUUUGCUAAUAAUCAGUGCUGAAAACAUAUAAUCAAAAUAAACAGGAUGAAAUCCAAAGGGAACACAAAAAUAUAAUUUAUUGUGUGGCUAUUGUUUGGCUCCUCAACAAUUUGCAGAUGCUCUAAUCUUGUUCAUCUCGAGUAUGGAUUAUUUCUGUUAUGCAUCAUAAGAAGCUCAGGUUGGUAAAAUGAGAAGCCAGGGAGAUUUCCAGUGAAGCUGGCCAGCUAAAUACCUGCUCAUGGAGGAUCCCUGAAGGGUUUUCCCCUGGACUGUAGCUCUUCAACUACUAACUAAAGGGACUGGCAUUCCUUCAGAUUUUAUGACUCACCAGGAUCAGGGAAAGUCUAAAAAUUACCCCUCAAGAUCCUCCAAUACAGCUGAGGUCUGCAAGCAA